UACAGAGGUGGCAAGCGUUGUUCGGAAUUACUGGGCGUACAGGGAGCGUAGGCGGUUGGGUAAGCCCUCCGUGAAAUCUCCGGGCCUAACCCGGAAAGUGCGGAGGGGACUGCUCGGCUAGAGGAUGGGAGAGGAGCGCGGAAUUCCCGGUGUAGCGGUGAAAUGCGUAGAGAUCGGGAGGAAGGCCGGUGGCGAAGGCGGCGCUCUGGAACAUUUCUGACGCUGAGGCUCGAAAGCGUGGGGAGCAAACAGG
rnacentral:rRNA from 1 species